rnacentral:lncRNA from 10 species
UCUUACCACCACUGAAUAUUGUGGUAGAGAUCCUAGUCAAUACAGAGAAACAAGAAAAAUAAAUUAUGAGGAUUGGAAAAGGAAGAAAUUCAACAGUCUUUAUUCACAGCUGUGAUUGCUUGCCUCUGCAGUCUCUGCAGGAGUCAGAGGAUGGAGCUGCAGAGCCUCUAAGGCCAGAAUUAGGCCCAACAGGGGAGGAUGCAGACAGGCACAUCAAGACCCCAUACAAAGGAAAACGUCCUAAGGGCCACAGGAAUAGGCUGCUUUAACGGGAUACUGAGCGCCCUGUCACCACUGGAGUUCACACAAAGGCUGGAGAACGACCUGACCGAAGCAGCGGACGAAUCCUCGCCCUGGGUGACAGGAGUCCAACACUAUGUCUGAAACAUCACCAUAGAACAAGAUGGAUGGAUGUUUUCAUCACAUCUAUGGAUAUUAGACCUUCGACACAGGUGAUUAUGAAAGACUUCAGAAAUAAACCCCAGUGUCCUACGAGGCUAAAUGACUUAGAGCCCA